GAUGAACGCUAGCUACAGGCUUAACACAUGCAAGUCGAGGGGAAACGACAUCGAAAGCUUGCUUUUGAUGGGCGUCGACCGGCGCACGGGUGAGUAACGCGUAUCCAACCUGCCCACCACUUGGGGAUAACCUUGCGAAAGUAAGACUAAUACCCAAUGAUAUCUCUAGAAGACAUCUGAAAGAGAUUAAAGAUUUAUCGGUGAUGGAUGGGGAUGCGUCUGAUUAGCUUGUUGGCGGGGUAACGGCCCACCAAGGCUACGAUCAGUAGGGGAUUUGAGAGGAAGGUCCCCCACAUCGGAACUGAGACACGGUCCAAACUCCUACGGGGGGAAGCAGUGAGGAAUAUUGGUCAAUGGGCGAGAGCCUGAACCAGCCAAGUAGCGUGCAGGAUGACGGCCCUAUGGGUUGUAAACUGCUUUUAUAAGGGAAUAAAGUGAGCCUCGUGAGGCUUUUUGCAUGUACCUUAUGAAUAAGGACCGGCUAAUUCCGUGCCAGCCGCCGCAGUAA
rnacentral:rRNA from 1 species